rnacentral:lncRNA from 1 species
UCUGGAGGUAUCAGCUGCCUAUGGCUGUCUUUGGAGGGGGACUCCUCUACUCUGGCUUCAGCUUGCUCUUCUCGGGCUCUCUUUUCAGUGCCAGCAUAGUUACUUACACCAGUCAAGUCCAAACUUACACUACAGCCAGGUAGACGUGUUUCAGGUUAAUUAGGGGCCUCAGUCAAUUUAGUUCAUGGGCUGUAAUUACAAGCACCUAAGACCUGCAAUUUCUGUUUUAAUUAAAAUAAACAAUGUGGAGGGCCUGACAUCACACCAGGGCAACUGGUGUGGAAGGAAUAGGUAAUUACACCAAAGGAGAGCCUUUUGCUGUGAGGCAGUCUAUUGGGAUCCACAGAGGAACACUGGGCCUGGCUAUCCUGGUGAAUACUAAUUACCCACUGCCAACCACAGCCUCAACCAGACAGGGAAGCUGUAGACCCUCGAAGUUGGAAGAGGCAAAGAAUGGAUUUUCCUCUAGAGUCACUGAAAGGAGCACUGGCCUAUGCAGUCCUCUCCAGCCCUGCGGUCUGCUGUUUAAUGACCUCCAUCUCCCAUCUGUACACCUGUAUAUGCUGCUUUUCCCACCUGGAACACUCUCCUAGUCUCUGCCAACCCUGAGAGAUGUGCCGAGCUAGACUAGCUUACAAACAAGGGACCAGUGCUGUCUCUGGUGCCAUCUCAGGCUGAGACACAGUCCUUGCACUCAUUCUUGCUGGCCAAGGCUCCAGGUUACAGCAGGUCAUCUUACCUAUGACUGUACCAGGUGUCCUCAAACUGAAAGUUUCUUAGACACAGUGAAAUAAACACAAGGUUUGGUGUAGAAAGCUGGAUGAGGAUCUUGUUUUUGCUGCUUACAUGCUCUGUGAUCUUGUGUAAAUUACUUAAAUUUCUGAGCUUCAGUUCUC